AAUGGUGGGAACCCAGACUCCGAAUAGUUCGCUUGGGGGCAGGAAGUGGCCAGUACCUCCCUUCGGAAAGCAUUUCCGGAGCGCCUACUGUGUGCUCCACGCUGGGGAUGGAGGUCUUUUCCUGGAGGAGAAAUAAUGGAAAGCCUGAUGUUUUUAAGUCCGCUCACUCCACCAGGACCUCCCACCACCGGUAUGAUUGUACCUAUUGUACUGAGAGGAAACUGAGGCCCAGUUAGUCCAGGGGUUUACCCCUAGCUGCACUCUUCAUUCUGGUGGAAAAUUGCAAACAACUACAGUCCCCUCGCUGGGAGCUGACUGCUUACAGCAACUCUGAGACCUCCGUACGUACGUACAGCGUGAUGUUGCAACAAGAAGGCAUCAGCUACCUGAAAGGACUGUUCCUGGCCUCUUUCCAAUGCCAUAAGGAGGCAGCACCUUCUCCAUGUUACAGAGGAGUUCCAGAGGCUCGGAGGGGCUAACCCAGCUGGGGGAUCUAGCGGGCAGCCAAAGGCCCUGCUGUGGAGGAAGGAGAA